ACUUAGUAUGUGUUCCUGCAGUAAAUAUGGACCAAUAGCAAAUUAUAUGUAGUAGGCUUUAGGUGGGCAUCUAGUGAGUUACAGUUUGCCCAUAAAGGAACCUACUUAUAUUU